GACGAACGCUGGCGGCGUGCUUAACACAUGCAAGUCGAGCGGUAAGGCCCUUUCGGGGGUACACGAGCGGCGAACGGGUGAGUAACACGUGGGUGACCUGCCCUCAGCUCUGGGAUAAGCCUGGGAAACUGGGUCUAAUACUGGAUAUGACUCCACGGUGCAUGUCGUGGGGUGGAAAGCCUUGUGCGGCUGAGGAUGGGCCCGCGGCCUAUCAGCUUGUUGGUGGGGUGAUGGCCUACCAAGGCGACGACGGGUAGCCGGCCUGAGAGGGCGACCGGCCACACUGGGACUGAGACACGGCCCAGACUCCUACGGGAGGCAGCAGUGGGGAAUCUUGCGCAAUGGGCGAAAGCCUGACGCAGCGACGCCGCGUGAGGGAUGACGGCCUGGUGU
rnacentral:rRNA from 1 species